rnacentral:rRNA from 1 species
AACAACAGGGAUUGCUCAGUAACGGCGAGUGAAGCGGCAAAAGCUCAAAUUUGAAACCCUCGGGAUUGUAAUUUGAAGAUUUGGCAUUGGAGAAAGCUAACCCAAGUUGCUUGGAAUAGUACGUCAUAGAGGGUGACAACCCCGUCUGGCUAACCGUUCUCCAUGUAUUGCCUUAUCAAAGAGUCGAGUUGUUUGGGAAUGCAGCUCAAAGUGGGUGGUAAACUCCAUCUAAAGCUAAAUACUGGUGAGAGACCGAUAGCGAACAAGUACUGUGAAGGAAAGGUGAAAAGAACUUUGAAAAGAGAGUGAAAUAGUAUGUGAAAUUGUUGAUAGGGAAGGAAAUGAGUGGAGAGUGGCCGAGGUUUCAGCCGCCCCUCGUGGGCGGUGUACUGCCGACGCCGAGUCAUCGAUAGCGAGACCGAGGGUUACAAAUGGGAGCGCCUUCGGGCGUUCUCCCCUAACCCUCCACACUGCCACCUGACGACA